AAGUCGUAACAAGGUUUCCGUAGGUGAACCUGCGGAAGGAUCAUUAUUGAAUGAACUUGGUAUGAUUGUUGCUGGCCCAUCUGGGCAUGUGCACGUCUGCCAUCUUUAUCUCUCCACCUGUGCACAUAUUGUAGGUCUGGAAUAAAUUUCUGAGGCAACUCAGUAGUGGGGAAUGCUGCUGCGAAGUGGCUUUGCCUGUAAUUUCAGAUCUAUGUUUUCAUAUACACCAUAAAAAUGUAACAGAAUGUAUUAAUGGGUCUUGUACCUAUAAACUAUAUACAACUUUCAGCAACGGAUCUCUUGGCUCUC
rnacentral:misc_RNA from 1 species